AUUGAACGCUAGCGGGAUGCCUUACACAUGCAAGUCGAACGGAGUGGCGAACGGGUGAGUAAUGUAUUGGAAGGUGCCCGGUGGCGGGGGUUAACUCCGCGAACGAGUAGUUAAUCCCGCCUCCUCUUGGAGCGGCCGCUACCGGAUUAGCUAGUUGGUGGGGUAACGGCUCACAAAGGGGACGAACCUAAGCUGGUUUGAGAGGAGGACCACCCACACUGGGACUGAGACACGGCCCAGACUCCUACGGGAGGCAGCAGUGGGGAAUGUGGGACAAUGGGGGAAACCCUGAUCCAGCCAUCCCGCGUGUGCGAUGAAGGCCUUCGGGUUGUAAAGCACUUUUGGCAGGAAAGCGGUACCUGCAGAAUAAGCACCGGCUAACUACGUGCCAGCAGCCGCGGUAAUUC
rnacentral:rRNA from 1 species